GAUUUCCCCCAAUUAUAUAUCCAAUUCCAAACCCUAAUCUCAGUUCAACCUGAAUUCUUCUCUAUAUAGAUAGCUGUAAUCGUUUCUCACAAAAUUCUUCCCUGUAAUUCUUUUCAACAGCAGCCAUGGCUAACGCGAGGGAAGGGGACCCAAAUCUGGGCUACCUCACCAAGAAAGAAACCGAAGUGAAGCUGCCGCGACCGACGCGCGUGAAGAACAAGACCGCCGCUCCGGUUCAGAUCACCGCCGAGCAAAUACUCCGGGAGGCCCGUGAACGCCAAGAAGCCGAAAUCCGGCCACCCAAGCAGAAAAUCACCGACUCCGCCGAGCUCGGUGACUACCGUCUCCGGAAAAGAAAAGAGUACGAGGAUUUAAUCCGAAGGGUGCGUUGGAAUAAAAGCGUGUGGGUGAAGUAUGCCAAGUGGGAGGAAUCGCAGAAGGAUUUCGCUCGGUCGAGGUCGGUGUGGGAGCGAGCGUUGGAGGUCGAUUAUCGAGACCACACAUUGUGGUUGAAGUACGCCGAUUUCGAGAUGAAGAACAAGUUCAUUAAUCACGCGAGGAACGUGUGGGACCGCGCCACGGAAUUGUUGCCGAGGGUGGACCAACUGUGGUACAAGUACAUCCACAUGGAGGUCAUGUUGGGGAAUGCUGCCGGGGCGAGGCAGAUUUACGAGCGGUGGAUGAAGUGGGUGCCUGAUCAAGAAGGAUGGCUUUCGUACAUAAAGUUUGAGUUGAGAUUUAACGAGAUCGAAAGAGCAAGAGCUAUAUUCUCUCGGUUUGUCGAAUGCCACCCGAACGUCACCGCGUGGAUUAGGUUUGCUAAAUUCGAGAUGAAGAACGGAGAGAUUGCUCGUGCGAGGCAGGUUUACGAGGAUGCUCUGAAGAUAUUGGGGAAUGACGAGGAAGCGGAAAAGUUAUUUGUAGCCUUUGCGGAGUUUGAGGAACGAUGCAAAGAAACGGAAAGAGCUAGAUGUAUAUACAAGUAUGCAUUGGACCAUAUUCCGAAAGGGAGGGCAGAGGAGAUUUACAAGAAGUUUGUUGCUUUCGAGAAGCAGUAUGGAGAUAGGGAAGGAAUCGAGGAUGCCAUAGUUGGGAAGAGAAGGUUUCAAUACGAGGAUGAAGUGAGGAAGAAUCCGUUUAACUACGAUGUAUGGUUUGAUUACAUUCGAUUGGAAGAGAGCUGUGGCGAUAAGCUGAGGAUCGAGGAUGUUUACGAGCGGGCCAUAGCAAACAUCCCUCCUGCUCAAGAAAAGCGGUAUUGGCAGCGGUACAUAUACUUAUGGUAAGCUUAAUGCUUCAUAUGUUGGUGUUUUUAUAGGAAUGCUUUGCUUAUAUUUUUAUUUGUUUGUACUUGUUGUUUGCUGACCGGUUGAAUCCCUUUUUCAUCAGGAUUAACUAUGUUUUGUACGAGGAGCUUGAUGCCCAAGACAUCGUCCGCACGAGGGAAAUAUACGAGUAAGUUAAAUUUGAUCUGUUCAAGUAUAUAAUUUGUUUCUGCAGCUUUUUUCAUAGAUAAUCAUAUUUUUGAAUUUGAAACAAAUUUCUCAAUCGGGAUUGUAUUUAAUCUUCAUAGGGAACUUCUUUUUGGUAGUAAAUAAUUUGUUUUGGGAUGAGCUGCUUCGUGUUAUGAGAUAGGAUACCGUGAUUACAUUUUGCGCAUUGACUAUUAGAUUGAGUGUAUAGCUGUUUAAUAUCUGAAUGCAAUGCUAUUAUCCUGGUUCAUGGUGUCGAUGUCUUUACAUUGGAUGAAAACGUAUGAAGAUUAGUUUGACGCAUACCCUUAUCGUUGUUAUGUUUUAACUUCUCUGUCCAGUGUUUGGUGCAAAUUUUCUUUGUUAGAUGUCUAUACUUCUGUCAGAUUCCUAAAAUAAUUCAUAGAACGAGUGGUCGGGAUGAGUGGAAAUACAAUAAUUACAUGCAGUAUAGUCAUAAUUUUUAUAUGCCUUUGUUAGCUUCGUUUCAUGUUAUGUUUUUUUUUUUUUUUUUUUUUUCCCCGCUCUUGGUUGAGUUAAUCAUGAUUCAUUUUUUGUAUGAACUGAUCCUAACUAAGAUUUCCUGAUUUAUCUCCGGAAUCGAACAGCUUGUGCUUGAAGAACAUUCCUCAUGCGAAGUUCUCUUUCGCCAAAAUUUGGCUGAUGGCCGCACAAUUCGAAAUUCGCCAGUUAGAUAUUGAUCGGGCACGGAAAAUCUUGGGGUCAGCAAUUGGCAAGGCUCCCAAAGACAAGGUACGCAGAAUUCGAGUUAUCUGAACCCCGCUUUCCUUUUAUUUUGAUUUUGUUGGUCAUCCUUCAUUAACUGUAUGUAUAUUUAAUAUGUUUUAACAGAUAUUUAAAAAGUACAUCGAGAUAGAGCUUCAACUUGGUAAUAUAGAACGAUGUAGGACACUGUAUGAGAAGUACUUGGAGUGGUCGCCCGAAAAUUGCUACGCGUGGAGCAAAUAUGCCGAGUUAGAAAGAUCCUUGGCAGAAACCGAACGAGCUAGAGCUCUUUUUGAGCUUGCAAUUGACCAACCUGCUUUAGACAUGCCAGAGCUGUUGUGGAAGGUACUAGCAUCAUUGUGUAUUGAUAACGUUAUCUAUCAUCAAUAAGUGUUUGCAUUAUUUUGUUGAAUUUGAUUGAAUGUUUAUUGAUCUUGUAUAUAUAUGUGAUGGCAGGCUUAUAUCGACUUUGAAAUAUCCGAGUCCGAAUUUGGAAGAACAAGAGCACUUUACGAGAGGCUUUUGAACCGCACGAAACACUUGAAGGUGUGGAUAAGUUACGCCAAGUUUGAGGCAUCUGCUACGAAAGAGGGCAUUCAAGAAUCAGACAUGUCUGAAAUUGAUUCUGAGCAGAAACGAAAGUGCCUCGAGCGUGCCAGAGGUGAGUAGAUAAAAUCCACGAUACAUCAUUUACUAUUUGCACGGUGUCCUAAAAAUCAUUUUCCCGAUUAUAAAAUAUUCAUUAUAGUGAGAACUAGAAACUCAAUUGUUUAUCCUCUGUUUUUACAGCUGUGUACGAAAGAGCCCUUAGCCACUUGAGAACAACUGCACCCGAACUGAAAGAGGAACGAGCAAUGCUUUUGGAAGAGUGGUUGAAUAUGGAAAGCAGCUUCGGUCAACUCGGUGAUGUUGACUUGGUCCGUGUUAAGCUGCCAAAGAAACUCAAAAAACGAAGGCACAUCGAGACUGAAGAUGGUCCCUCUGGGUACGCAUUCAACUUCCUUUUUUUUUUUUUUUUUUUUUUUUUCAUUUAAAAACUAUUAUUUCAACAAACGCCUUAAAUGUCACAUAUUUUUAAAACCCGGGAUUUAAUUUUCUUUGAAAUUUAUUAAUUGUAGGUACGAAGAGUAUAUCGACUAUCUUUUCCCAGAAGAGACGCAGACGACAAAUCUGAAAAUUUUGGAAGCAGCGUUAAAGUGGAAGAAGCAGAAGCAAUCCUCCGAUUGAUUAAUGGGUUUUUCGCAUUCCGUUUAUUUUGAGCUUUUCUUGAUCUUUAUGUAUAUGUACCUAUCUGAUGUGUGUAAGCAAGCAAGUUUUGGUGUUGCAUUUUUCGAAGCUGAGACUACCCUUUUGUUUUCUAUUUAUUUGUUUUCUCAUUUUCUUUUAAUGUAGCAAAACCGAAGAGAGGGCACAAUUGUAAUUUCUACUUUUAAGUUUUAAGUGUACUUUUGAAGUAGCAAACCCAAAUUCUUACAUGUUCUAAAAAUAAAAUGUCAAUUUGCUUAAUUGUUACUACUGAGAAAUAAUUUUUUUUAAAGAUUCAUUAAUAAUGAUUAGUGUAUGGUUACAAAAAUCUAAAUUCUCAUUUUUAAACUAUUUGGUUGCGUUUCUAAUCGAUGAUUCUUCAUGUUUGAGCCCUUUUCGGGUUGUGUUUUUUUUCCCGUACACAUCUAAUGCAUCUUGUUGUUAGCUUCUCUCUUGGUUGAAUUUUGUCACUGAAUUAGUCGUUGGAUAUAUAGGUCUUUGUUACUAAUUGUUUCGUCUAAAAUUUCAAUUAUCAUGACAUGGUUUGGCAAACGAGGUUAUUAUCCAAAUUUCAUGCUUCAAGGGUUGAUUAAACCAAUAACUCUAUCCGACAAAUGCAACCAACAAAUCAUUUGGAGUGAAGAAGGUGAAAUAUACGAGCGUAGACUGUAUGAAGCUGACUCAAGUUAGAAUUUUGUAUCAUAAACUUAAAUUGAUCGGAGGGUAUUUUGGUCGGGAAGUAGUUUUCUAUUAGAGUUUAUUACUUUAUUAUAAAUACCACCCACGUGAAAUCUCUAUUCAGAGUUUUUUCUUUUAACAUGGGGUAUUUGUCAGUUUCAUAUUACACAAGGGAGGUAUUUGCAAUUAGCUAAUUUCUAUUCAUAUAUUCAUCUACAUUGUAUACUUAAUUAGGGUAGUUUAGUCAUUUACUUUAAGUCCAACAUGCUUAUCUAAUCACGAUCCCACGAAUUUCGAGUAUGAUUUUUUUAUAUUAUUAUCUUGUUUUUUACGUCUUAUUAAUAAUGUGCUUAUAAUAGAAAGGGUAAAUUACAACCACCCAUGAGGUAUGAUUAAUUUACAAAAAAAACCCCUCUUGUUUGGAUAAUUACAUCUACCCCUCAACUAUUAUUUUUCUUACAUCUUCACCCUUAUGGUGUCAAAUUCAACAUAAUCAUCUAGAUUUCGUGGAAUGUGCUCUAGUUUGUACUCGUUUUGUGUAAAAAUACAGUUUUUGAUGCAUCACAAUAUGAUAUAUGCAAGCCAAAAAACACACAUCAUGAUCAUCUUGCUUCAAAAUACAGUUUAGGUUUUUCGUUAAACUAACGGCUUGUAUAGCGGAAAAUGUAACUGAGGGGGUAAAGGAUACAUAAUAAUAGUAUAAGGGAGGUAAGUGAAAUUAACCCUGAAUAAAAUGUAAAUGUAAAGAUAUUAUACUCUCUUCAAUGUUCUUAUCAGGUGCUCUCUCUAAUCAACUUUUUUUUUUUUUUUUUCUGAAAAUUAUGAACUAAAAAACCCUUUCACGUUUUAAUAGGUAUUGACAAAUAUGACGUAUUGAAAGUGAAAGUUUUAUCAAAUCUUAUAUUAUUUAGUAAACUCCUCAUUACUUCUUUUAAUUGAGAGAGACCCAAAAUAUUUCUCUCCACUUGAGAAAAGUUCCAUUUUCAGCUAUUAUCUUUCCCAGUUUUAUCCCGCCCGCCAUGUCAUCAUCGCGUCACGAGCUGGUCAUCAACGACUUUUUUUUUUCAUUUUUUUUUUCUGUAUCAGUUUUAUUAAUCGACUAUGAAGCAUAGUAGCUUAUGGUAAAUCGACUAUGAAGCAUAGUCGAUUCAGGAAUUUCUUUAAUUUAAAAAAAAUCAAUUUUUUUUCUAUAUCAUAUAUAUUAAUCGACUAUGAUGAAGCAUAGUCGAUUAAGAGUCUGCUACUAAAAAUAACAAAUCAAAACUGAAAACAAAUGCAAAAAAUCAACUAUAUUUAAAAAAAAAACAAAAAAUAUAAGAACAUUAUUUUUCGGUAAAAAAAUGACGUAUAUGACAGUGGAAAUGACAAAAUUCACUUUCACAAUAUUGGAUUCCAUAAAAUGGGAAGGUCAAAAUCUAUGGAUUUAAUAAGGGAAUGGCAGAAACCACUCUGCGCGCGAAAACCACUUUGUACGUGAAAACCACUAUGUGCACGAAAACCACUAUGUGGACAAAAACCACUCUGCGUACAUAAACCACUCUUACAUUUGUUUAAGCAUCAACACAACAUCCACAGUGCACCAGACACAUACAAAUCUUAUAUAUAUAUAUAUAUAUAUAUAUAUAUAUAUAUAUAUAUAUAUAUAUAUAUAUACAUACACAUACAAAUUACUGUCCAACGUAAAUCAAUACAAAACCUCACAUAUAACUCAUCUUAAAUUCUCAUGUGAGCUGAAAACCACCAUGUGAAUCUGCACUGUCGCGCGCCAUUUAUCCAAAUGACACAAACAAAUUAUUAUUUAUGUGAGUUAUAAUUUCGAUUCCACAUAAAUGGAAAUGUGCAAUCAAUAAGCGUUAAUGGUGAAAUUAAUUGAGAAAGUGUUCAUUAAAAUAUUUAUGUAGAUGAUAUUAUGUAUCUUCUUUAAUAACAGAUAUAAAAAAAACGCGUGUAUUAAUUAGUUAGGGGCAUAAUAGUGAUAAUUAAGGGUUUUUAAUUAAUUAUAAGCUCUUUUGAAUUUAUCUUAAAAAUGAAAAAUAAAUUUGGGCCUAAUGUAACGACCCCUUGUGAAAUGAGAGGGUUUUGUCAAAGUAUCCCUUUUUUUAUAUUAUUAUCUUGUUUUUUAUGUCUUAUUAAUAAUGUGCUUAUAAUAAAAAUAAUAUAAAAACCAAAUAUAAACUAAAAUGAGAAUUUUUUAAAGUUGUAAGAUGAUGGAUGAGUUUGUGCUGAAAGCAAAUUUUAGUUGUAAAUGAAGAGGUGGGUGGAUACACAUUUUUUUACAAAAUUAAGAGAAGGGCAUAACUGGAAGUAAUAAAUCAGUUCUUUAGGUUUUUCGUUAAACUAACGUUUUAUAUAGCGGAAAAUAUAAUUGAAUGAUACAUAAUAAUAUUAUAGGGGAGAUAAGUGAAAUUAAUCCCCAAUAAAACGUAAAUGUAAAUAAAUCUUAUAUUAUUUAAUCCAAAAAAAGUUGCUGACAUUUAGUGACAUCACUUGGCGUCACAUCAUAGUACUUUGAGUAAGAAAUAGUUUGCAUUUGAGGAAAUGAAAUGUCCUAAAAAAAAAGAAAUGGAAUGCUAAAUUUGGUGGAGAUGAAGUAAAUGCUUUUAUUCCAUAAAUAGCUAAUAUUUUAAUCUUAGUAUAGGAGAGAAAAAUUGGGAUUUUUUAGGGUUUGCCAGAAAUUCUUUUUGUUUUUUCGUCAUUUUCAAUAAGAUAUUUAAUGAUAAAAAACUUUAAUUCAAUUUAUUUUCAAUGAAGAUAUUUAAUGAUAAAAAACUUUAAUUCAAUUUAGAGAUUUAAAUUAUUUAGCCUAAUAUCAAGUAAGUACAUUAUUUAUGGGUCUUUAAUAUCUGUUUCUACUUGUUUUAGUUCGUAGGGACUAUUCCUGUCUUUUAGCACAUAAACCUAAACCGAAAGUGUUGUCGGUCACUUUUGUCUUUAAUAUCUGUUGUUUUCGUUUACUUGUUUUAGUUCGUAGGGACAAUUCUUUCUUUAUGCACUUAAACCGAAACUGAAAGUGUUGUCGGUCUCCGUCGUCUUUGACCGUGUCUUUGUUAGUCGGGUCCAAUUUUCGAUCUGAUCGGACUUGUGAGUUUUCAGCGUGUUAACUUGCUCCAUUAAUCCCUUCACUUGAUCAUAUCUUUCUUUAGUUAUUUCUACCUAUUCACCUUUCUCCAGGUGCAAAAUUUUGUUCUUUUCGAUAAAAUCCGAAAUCUUUGAUAAAAAGUCGUCCUUGUUUUCCUCUUGUUCCGAAAUGCGUGAUUCCAACCUCGAUAUUUUCUCAUGCAUUUGCGUGGUUUCGUUGCACUUAAACACGAUUUGCUCUUCCAAAGCUCGGCUAUUGUUUCGACUUCAAUCUUCAAACGCUUCUAAAUCCCUCAUUCGAUCCAACUUUUUUCUCACGUUUUCUCUCUCUUCUUCUUUUUCCUCCAUGGUAAAAUCCUCGAGAAUUUCGUUGAAUUCUUGAGACUUCGAACCGAAAGUGGAGGCUUCCUUUACUUCACUAGAAGAAGUGAGUUUGUCCUUGAGGAUAGUAGUGUCUUCUACAUCGGAUGUUUCGGACUCCUGGUUAUUAUAGAUUUGAUCGGGGGUAUUUUCGUCAUUUUUAACAAUCCUUUCCACCGGAGAAUAAUACGCUUCGGAAUCCGGUGGGGAAGAAGACGAAGAAGAAGAAGAAGAAGAAGAAGCACUGUCUUCAAAACGGACAUUGUUCUUCACCUCGCCUCGUAAAUCUUCGUACAUGGAGUAGAGCGACUCGUAGUGGUGGUGAAAAUCUUCGACGGGGUGAAUUAGUUCCGAUUUUUUCUUCAUGUUCGCGUCUUUAUUGUUGUUUAUGUUUUUGGCUAGCUUCAAAGUCCUUUUCACUUUGCUCUCAAUUUAUGCAUGCAACAUUGCUAUUGGUUAAACGGAACACGAAAAUGCAGUACUAAAUACGACAUUUAUAUUAUAAUUUUGGAUUUUUUUUUUUCAUUUAACGUUGCAUCUCUUGUUCUGUUUCACCGAUACACGAUACAAAUUACUAGAUUAAACCGUAUCCGACAUGGAAAAUUCUCAAUGUCUUCAUAUAUUAAUAAUUAAAAGAUGUAUUUUGGGGAAAGGAAAUCAGUGAGUACUUACAUUGCUAAAUGGAGGCGAGUUUUUCGUUGUACUCGUGAACCACACGAUCGUUCUCCUCCUUCGCGUUAGCCAACUCUACUCGAAAUUCAUCCAUUCCAUUGUCUGUACUUUCGAAGGAGCAUGCAUCAACAAAUGGUUUUUAGUUGGAACUUCCUUCUGGAUCAUCAAUAUACCACGUCGAGCAUUUUUAAUAGGUCAGAACUUUUAUCCUUCAAUUGCCUACAGACCCUCCCAGUCUUUCCACCAACCUUCAAAAUUUCACGGUUAUGAACACAGGUUGACGUUAUCCAUUGUCAGCUCCCUUGUGUCAUGCAGACGAUGACCCCGGGCUAAGCCACGACCUCGGCUAUGGGACAUGCUCCUGCCUGAAUCCUCAUCAACCCCUUGCAUAGGAGGAUGAAUCUCAUCCUCUGUAGCUACAUGACCUAAGUACGGGCCCGAGUCCUGCCCCUCCCCAUGCCCGGAGCCCUUGCACAGGUGAAAUUAAAGCAUAACAUUUUGAUUAUACUAGUCAUAGAUUAUAUCUCAUUUUCUUUAAUGGAAUAAUAAAAUCUUUUUUGGCCAAAAAAAAAAUGAGAUAUAAUCUAUUUUUGUUAUAAUAAACAUCAUUUAUAUUUUUAAAUAAUUAUCUUAUGAUAAAAUACUCAAUAAUAUUAAUAAGUUAUUGUCAACAAUUGAGGUUAAUCGAUUUAAAUUAAUUGAAAUGAGUUAUAAUCUAUUUUUAUAAUAAACAUAUUAUUUUAUUUUUCAUUCGAUUUUUUCACACUAUCGAUUUUAAUAACAUAAGUGAAUUUGUAAUAAGUCAACGCAUUUGUAUAUAUAUUGAAUUGAUUCAAUACUUUAUAUUUUUCAGUAGUGGAGAUUAUAUUGAUAUAGAUUAUAUUGAUAUAUUAAUUAAUAAUAGAUGUUUUGAAGUAUGAACUGUGAUUAUAUAUAUAUUUUUUCUUAUAUUGCGAUAUAUUAAUUAAUAAUAGAUGUUUUGAAGUAUGAACCGUGAUUAUAUAUAUUUUUUCUUAUAUUGCGAUAUAUUAAUUAAUAAUAGAUGUUUUGAAGUAUGAACCGUGAUUAUAUAUAUUUGUUACCGUCCCCCUGUUUUUUCAUUAUUCAUUAGGCUUUUAACGCUGUCCCCCUGUUUUUUCAUUUUUUCAGUAGUGGAGAUUAUAUUGAUAUAGAUUAUAUUGAUAUAUUAAUUAAUAAUAGAUUAUAUUGAUAUAGAUUUUUCAUUUUUUCAGUAGUGGAGAUUAUAUUGAUAUAGAUUAUAUUGAUAUAUUAAUUAAUAAUAGAUGUUUUGAAGUAUGAACUGUGAUUAUAUAUAUAUUUUUUCUUAUAUUGCGAUAUAUUAAUUAAUAAUAGAUGUUUUGAAGUAUGAACCGUGAUUAUAUAUAUUUUUUCUUAUAUUGCGAUAUAUUAAUUAAUAAUAGAUGUUUUGAAGUAUGAACCGUGAUUAUAUAUAUUUGUUACCGUCCCCCUGUUUUUUCAUUAUUCAUUAGGCUUUUAACGCUGUCUCCCUGUUUUUUCAUUUUUUCAUUAGGCUUUUAACGCUGUCCACCUGUUUUUUCAUUAUUCAUUAGGCUUUUAACUCUGUUGAGAUCCUCGAGGAGGAGGAGGAUCUCGUGGUGGAGGAGAAGGAUCUCGUGGUGGAGGAGAAGGAUCUCGUGGAGGAGAAGCUCAAGCUCGAGGAGGAGCUGGCGCUCUACCAGAAAUACGCCGAAGAAAAUGAUGCCAUCAAUACACAAAAUGACAACCUACUGAAAGAGCUUGCUGGCCUUAACAAAAAGCGCCUAACUCUCCAACAGAAACUCAAAAGAGACCUAUUGGCGUUGAAGAAACCUGCUGUCGGGGCUGCCCGCCCGCACUCUAACUCUUUGUCACGUGGUUACACAAAUGAAUUUAAAGAAGUGACGCGUUUGGCUGAUAAAAACCUUCGACUAACUAAACGCCCAAAGUCGAACGAAUCUCGGGAUGCUAGGUUAGAAAAUCGGAACCAGAAAAAAAUUGUUUAAAUUUUAAUUUGUCUUUAAUAUCUGUUCCUACUUCCUCUACUUGUUUUAUUUUGUAGUGACUAUUCCUGUCUUUAUGCUAGGGGUGAGCAAAAAAACCGAAAAACCGAAAAACCGAACCGAAAAAUCGAAAAACCGAGCCGUUUUAAACCGUACCGAAUAGCAAACCGCAUGUACGGUUUUUUAUUUUUGAAAUACCGAAUUAUUCGGUUCGGUAUGGUGGAAAGGUAAAUAACCGAACCGAACCGAAACUAUAAAAUGACUUCAUUUUAUAUAAUAUAUCUAUUAUUUUACACUAAUAUUUAUUUUCUAUCUUUCAACUACUUGUCUCAUUCUAAGCAUUUGUUCAUAAAUUGAGACAUUGUAUUUUAUUUAUUUAGUAAUUAAAAAUUUACUUGAGUUCAUGGUUUUAAUAAUGUGGUAGAUGAAAGUAGGAAAAAAAAUGAAGCACAAUACAUCAUCUAUAAAUUACACGUUAAGUCCUAUGAAAUUAAAGAUUUUAUAUUUUCAUUGCAUUAGUAAGUUGUGAAAGUAAUUGUAAUUGUAUUCUUUUGUUUGUACAACUUGAAUAUAUUGUUACGCUUGAACCAAAAAAUAACCGAAACCGAACCGAAAAAAACCGAAACCGAACCGAAACCGAAAGAAACCGAACCGAUAAAAAACCGACAUACACGGUUUUUAAUUUUACAAAAACCGAUAUAUUCGGUUCGGUUCGGUUUUUGGCUAAAACCGAACCGAACCGACCCGUGCACACCCCUACUUUAUGCACGUAAACCUAAACCGAAAGUGUUGUCGGUCACUUUUGUCUUUAAUAUCUGUUGUUUUUUUCCGUCUUCGUUUACUUGUUUUAGUUCGUAGUGACUAUUCCUGUCUUUAUGCACGUAAACCUAAACCGAAAGUGUUGUCGGUCACUUUUGUCUUUAAUAUCUGUUGUUUUUUUCCGUCUUUGUUUACUUGUUUUAGUUCGUAGGGACUAUUUAUGCACUUAAACCGAAACCGAAAGUGUUGUUUUUUUCCGUCUUUGACCGUGUCUUUGUUAGUCGGGUCGGAUUUUCGAACUGAUCGGACUUGUGAAUUUUCAUUAAUCCCUUCACUUGAUCACAUCUUUCUUUAGUUAUUUCUUCCAAUUCACCUUUCUCCAGGUGAAGACGCUAAUGAAACUGUCUGUGAAGGAGGGAGGGGAUCUCUAUGGUAGGAAUUGAAAUUAGACGUCGAACGAAUCGUAAUUAGCACUUUCGCAAAAAAUCAACUUUUUUUCCUUUUAAUUUGGAAGUGAAAUGUUCAUUUCAAUUCCGUUCCCAAAAAAUACGAAAAUUUUGGAAUUUGGAAUGCAAGUUUCGAAAUUGGAACUUUUAGGCUCGGAAUUGGCAGAAAUUGAUGUUUUAUUAAUCCACUUACAAUAAUGUAACAUACAUAAUUAAACUGAUGUUAUAAAUGUAGGUUUCGAUUUUUUAUUUUUAUUUUUGGAAUUACUUUUUUAAACUAAAAUCGAAUCGGAGUCUUGUAUGUAUUCCAAUUCUGACCCAAAAAAAAUCUGAAAAUUGGAAAUCAAAUAUUUUUGGAAUAUGGACUAGAAUGAAAAACUGUCUUAAAAUUGAAACUUUUGAUCAAAAUUGGUGGAAUCUGAAAAAAAGUUCCUUUGAAAUUGGUCCAUACCGGUACCUAAUAGAUAGUUUUGUAGAUUAAACUUUUUAAAUAUUUAAUAUUAUUAAUUUAUUGAUAAAAAAUAUUUAAAUUAAUUAUAUUCGUAUAAUACCAUUAAAAUCUUACUAAUGUACAUCACGCCAAGAGUUUUAGUAAAACAUAUAUACUUUAUUUAAAAAUUAAGAACUUAAUAUCUAUCUCAUCUUAUUUUUUUCAAAUUUUUCUUUUAUAAAUCUACGAAUUUGUUUAUUUUUUAAAGUAAAUAAAUAUAGUGUAAAUGGUAAAUAGGCUCAUGACAAGGGCACUUAAUUGAGAGAGGGAUAUUCAACAUUUUUGUCUUUUAAAUAAAUCCAGUUCAUUCAAACUUAUUUGCAAAUAAGAAAAAUCUUUUUAUAUAUACCAAAAUUACCCCCAAUUCAUUGAAACCCAAUUCAACUCCAAUUUCAUGAUUUACACUCCAAUUUAGCCCAAUGUCAUCAAUUAACCAAUUUUAACCCUCAUUUCAAUUUUGACCCUAAUUUUGACCCGCCACCAUCGGAGACCGCCGGUCGCCGCCGUUGACGGGCGGAGACCGCCGAUGACUUUUUUUUUUUCUUCAAAAAUAUUUUAAUUAAUAUUACUGUCUUUCGUUGCUAAAUUACUGUCUCCAGCAGUUAUGUAACUGCUAAUUGAUUUUUUUAAUAAAUAUUUUAAUUAAUAUUACUGUAUUCGUUGCUAAAUUACUGUCUCCAUCAGUUAUUUAACUGUCGGAGACAAUAAUUUAACUGUUAAUUAAAUUUUUUAUUCUUAAAAAAAUAUUUUCAAUUAAUAUUACUGUAUUUGUUGCUAAAUUUCUGUCUCCGGCAGUUAUUUAACUGUCGUAGACAGUAAUUUAACUGUUAAUUGACUUUAUGUUUUUUUAAAAUUUUUUUUCUUAAAAAAAGUAUUUUAAUUAAUAUUACUGCCUUGUCUGCUAAAUUACUGUCUCCAACAGUAAUUUAACUAUCUUAGACAAUAAUAUUAAUAAUAUUAUUGUUCGGAAAAAUAAUAUUCAUAAUAUUACUAUCCUAAACAGUAAUUUAGUAGCCAAGACAAUAAUAUUAAUUAAAAUAUUUUUUUUCUAAGAACAAAAAAUUUCGAAAAAAAAAGUCAAGCAGGAGACCAACGGUGGUACCGGCCCGAAAAAAAAUUCAGGAAAAAAAUAAUUUCAAAAAAAAAAUGUCAACGCCGGAAUCUGGCCGGAAAUUUUUUUUUUAGAAAAAAAAAUUAUUUUCUGAAAAAAAUAAUAUUUUGGGGGUUAUUGUGUUAUAUUUGUUUAAAUCCGGGGUCAAUGUGUAAUAUUGAGGAAGUUAGACGAUAAUGGAUGUAAUUGAUAAGAAUUAUAUUAUGGAGGCUAUUUUAGACUAAAGACAUGGGGAUGGGUUUAAUUGAGAGACUGUUAUUACAGCCACCACCUACUAUUUAUUAUCUUCCGAAAAAACCCCUCUAAAAGUAAAUUUAUGGAUGUUAAUUCGGUAAAAACGAACCGAAAUUUCAAUAUGCCAACAUUUCAUACCGUUUACCGAACUGAAUACACGAUUUGGUUCGGUAAAUAGCCGAAUUACAUAAAUUUUAUGUAAUCUUAUAUAUAAAAGAAAGAAACGCUGGGAAACCCUAAAAAACCCUAAUUGUAUUUCUGUAAUUAUUUAUUUUUAAUAUUUUUUCUCUACUAAUUUUGAACUAUAAUUUUUAACAAUUAUCAAAAUUAAAAAUAACCCGUAAAGAAUCCUACUUUAUUGCUACUUAUGUAAUUAUAUAUUUUUAAUAUUUUUUGUACUAAUUUUGUAACUAUAAUUUUCAGCAAUUAUUAAGAGAUAAAGCUAGAAAUUUAAUUUGUUAAAUCUUAGUCUAUUUAUUUGGAUUAUAACUCUUAAUAUGUAAUAUUUAAAAAAAACUAAUGUUAUAUAAAAUAUGAAUAAUACUACAUUAUUAAAUUUUACUUUAUUAGUGUGCUAUAUUUUCUUAUUAUGUAUUAAAUUGAUUUAUUUAUUUUUACUAUUUAAAUAAUAUCCCGUGCAUCACACGGGGGAAAAUGCUAGUAAUAUUUAAAAGAAAGAGUAACUGUAAUUACCCAAAUAAGAGGGGUUGUUUCGUAAUUUGGGAGUAGAUGAUAGGUGGCCGCAAUUUGCCUUAUUUUUUUGUUUUUGAAAACGUUAAUUAGGAACUAUUUGUACAUAUAUUUAGUCGAAUAAAUUACUAUUAUUCUAUCAUCUUCCCUUUUCCGAUUCGAAAACCCUAACCUGUAUCUGCAACGAUUUCCCCCAAAUUAUAUAUAUCCAAUUCAAACCCUAAUCCGAGUUCAACCUGAAUCUGGGCUACCUCACCAAGAAAGAAACCGAAGUGAAGCUGCCGGGGCCGACGCGCGUGAAGAACAAGACCGCCGCUCCGGUUCAGAUCACCGCCGAGCAAAUACUCCGCGAGGGUCGUGAACGCCAAGAAGCCGAAAUCCGGCCACCCAAGCAGAAAAUCACCGACUCCGCCGAGCUAGGAGAUUACCGUCUCCGGAAAAGAAAAGAGUACGAGGAUUUAAUCUGAAGGGUGCGAAGGAAUAAAAGCGUGUGGGUGAAGUAUGCCAAGUGAGAGGAAUCACAGAAGGAUUUUGCUCGUUCGAGGUCGGUGUGGGAGCGAGCGUUGGAGGUCGAUUAUCGAGACCACACAUUGUGGUUGAAGUACGCCGAUUUCGAAAUGAAGAACAAG
rnacentral:lncRNA from 1 species